CCUACGGGAGGCAGCAGUGGGGAAUAUUGCGCAAUGGGCGAAAGCCUGACGCAGCGACGCCGCGUGAGGGAUGAAGGUCUUCGGAUCGUAAACCUCUGUCAGCAGGGAAGAACGGACACUGUGCUAAUCAGCAGUGAAUUGACGGUACCUGCAAGGGACGCACCGGCUAACUCCGUGCCAGCAGCCGCGGUAAUCCGGAGGGUGCGUGCGUUAAUCGGAUUUACUGGGCUUAAAGCGCUCGUAGGCGGUAUGACAAGUCAAGGGUGAAAUCCCCGCGCUCAACGUGGGAACUGCCUUUGAAACUGGCAAACUAGAGUGUGUGAGAGGAUAGUGGAAUUCCAGGUGUAGGAGUGAAAUCCGUAGAUAUCUGGAGGAACAUCAGUGGCGAAGGCGACUAUCUGGCACAUAACUGACGCUGAGGAGCGAAAGCGUGGGUAGCAAACAGGAUUAGAUACCCUUGUAGUC
rnacentral:rRNA from 1 species